CUUGUGUCUGUGUGCCUUGCUUUCGUUCCAUGCAAACACGAAGGAGAAAGAUUUGGCUCCAUGUAAACACCAGCUGUGUCAAGAGUGAGCAGCUCCUUUUAGGUCAACAGACAGCUGUGUGGUUGCCAGGCAACGGGGCCUGGGCUCUUCCUCCCCUCCAGCCUCAGCAGUGCCAGGCUCUUCACAGCGCCUUGUGCAGGAGCAAGGUCACCAACCGGGGAGAUGGCCUCCACCACGCCGCCGAGGAGGCCAAUUAAGCAAGGCAGGAUUUGCACGCUCUCACUUCUCGAAGGAAGAGGGGGAAGAGGCUGCGGCCUGCGCAGAGGGCACCACAGGCCGCAGCUUCGCUUCCUAGGCCUUCCGAGAUUGUGCAGGAUCUGAAAAGGGGAGUGCUGAUUGCUGUAGCGCCUCGUAGCUAUGGACAUUUCUCUCACCGAAGACCACGGCUCCGGUUUCCCUUCCCCGCAUCACACAUUGAGGGCUGCGUUUCACCAUCUGGAUUCACCUGGAGAAGAAAUGCCAGUCUGGAGGGCUCUCUAUUUUACAGAGGACAGUUCUCUAUUGAAAGGCGCCUUCUGAAGAACCGUCUGGUCAAGUCCUGUUCAAAGGUAAAGAAUUAGGGAGGACAGGAGACGCCUUCAUGUCCCCAUCCACAGCACUGGGCAGCAGAAUGUUGAACAGGCUCAAAGGGCACCUGGUCACACAGUCUUUCCCACUAUGGUGAGAUGUACUGUCUUUUGAUAUAAAUUAUAGCAAUCUUUUCUAAAUUGCAUCUGGAUGUAUAAAUUGGCAUUAGCAUUUGCUAA